UUGGAGGGCAAGUCUGGUGCCAGCAGCCGCGGUAAUUCCAGCUCCAAUAGCGUAUAUUAAAGUUGUUGCAGUUAAAAAGCUCGUAGUUGAAUUUCGGGAUUGACAUAUCGGUCGUGCCUUAAGGGGUAUGAACUGGUGUAGUCAGUUUCUCACCUUCUGGAGAACCGCGAUGUCCUUAAUUGGGUGCCGCGAGGAACCAGGACCUUUACUUUGAAAAAAUUAGAGUGUUUAAAGCAGGCAUUUUGCUUGAAUACAUUAGCAUGGAAUAAUAAAAUAGGACGGAUGGUUCUAUUUUGUUGGUUUCUAGGAUCACCGUAAUGAUUAAUAGGGAUAGUUGGGGGCAUUAGUAUUCAAUUGUCAGAGGUGAAAUUCUUGGAUUUAUUGAAGACUAACUACUGCGAAAGCAUUUGCCAAGGAUGUUUUCAUUAAUCAAGAACGAAAGUUAGGGGAUCGAAGACGAUCAGAUACCGUCGUAGUCUUAACCAUAAACUAUGCCGACUAGGAAUCAGACGAUGUUAAUUUUUUAAUGACUCUUUGGGGGGGGACGGGA
rnacentral:rRNA from 2 species